rnacentral:lncRNA from 1 species
GGAGAUGGCCGCAGCGGAGCGGGCAGGGGCCGUGUGUGACCCUGGCCGGGUCAUUUCCGUCGGGCCGGGCAGGCCCCUGGCAAGGAGGACCCUGAGCAUCUGUGUAGCCUGGAUGACCUUGCCCCGGAGGAGCCGAGGUGGGCACGCUAGGAGAGGCCCCCAGGGAUGACAUGGCGACCCGAAUGGCAGAAUCAUGUGGUCUCUCAUACCGCGGAACAGUAGGUCACGAUGAAAAGGAACCAUGCGGAUUCAAAGGACUGAUUGUCAGCUUAGGCAGAGCCCAGAAACACACGUGAAAAUUUACUGGAAAAACAGAGAGGGAGCCUGGGACUGGGGAUGGGGGACAAAGGGGACUUUAACUUAAUUGGCAUUGUUUUGUUUCUAGUCUAUGGAAGAGGCAGAGGUGGGAACACGAGUGCCUAUUAGGAUACUGUAUACUUUUUUGGUAAAUCUUUUAUUUUCUUUAAAUUAAAUAAAGGGGGGAAUUAGGUCCCCCUGUUCUUGUUUGGCCUGUGGCCACAGCAUCUGUUCCAGGAGAGAGGUGAGUCUGCAUGGGUGGGGGAAGAGAAGCCCUUAUCUCAGGGCAGGGCUCAUGCUCGCUGGGGACAGCCACCCUGCCACCACCACUGCCAAAUUAAGCCUUAUUUGUGUGCAGAUUUUUUUUUCUGGAGACAGAGUCUUGCUCUGCCCAGGCUGGAGUGCAAUGGCACGAUCUCGGCUCACUCCAACCUCCACCUCCCGGAUCCAAGCAAUUCUCCUGCCUCAGCCUCCCAAGUAGCUGGGAUUACAGGCACCUGCCACCACUCCCGGCUAAUUUUUUGUAUUUUUAGUAGAGAUAGGGUUUCAUCAUGUUGACCAGGCUGAUCUCAAACUCCUUACCUCAGGUGAUCCACCCGCCUCAGCCUCCUAAAGUGCUGGGAUUACAGGCAUGAGCCACCGUGUCUGGCCUCCUCUCUAUGCUUUUAAAAACUCUCUGGACUCGGCCAGGCGCGGUGGCUCACGCCUGUAAUUCCAGCACUUUGGGAGGCCGAAGCAGGCGGAUCUCUGGACUCAACUAAUGAUGCUGGAAAAACCGCAUAUCCACAUGCAAAAGAAUGAAGUUGGACCCUAACCUAGCACCAUAUACAAAAAUUACCUCAAAAUGGAUUCAGGACAUAAACAUAAGACCUGUAACUAUAAAAAUCCUGAAAGAAAACAGGGGGAAAGGUCUACAACAUUAGAUGUGGCAAUGAUUUUUUUAGAUAUGACCCCAAAAGCAAGAAUAGACAAAUAGGACCAAGUCAGACUUUAUAAAAACUGCACAGCAAAGGAAACAACAGAAUGAAAGGCAAUCUGUGGAAUGGGAGAAAAUAUUGCAAAUCAGAUAUCUAAUAAGGAAUUGCUAUCCAAAAUAAAAUUUAGACUCCUACCACUCGACAACAACAAACAACUCACUUAAAAAUGGGCAAAAGGCUGGGUAUGGUUGCUCAUGCCUGUAAUCCCAGGCUUCCCUUGGGAGGCCAAGGUGGGAGGAUCACUUGAGGCCAAUAGUUAGAAACUAGUCUGGGCGAUAUUGUGAGACCUCAUCUCUACAAAAAGUAAACUAAAACAAGGCAGGCAUGAUAGCACCUAUAGUCCUAGUUACUUGGUAGGCUGAGGCAGGAGGAUCACUUGAGCUCAGGAGUUCAAGGUUGCAGUGAGCUAUGAUUGUGCUACUGUACCCUAGCCUGGACAACACAGCACAAGAAAAAAUAAAGUGGACCUUUUCAUCAGUUAUAACAAGUGCACAACUCUUGUUCAGGGGAAGCUGUGCAGUUGGGAGGGCAGAGAGUAUGUGGGAGCUCUCUGUACUUUGUGCUCAGUUUUGCGUGAAUCUAAAACUGCUCUGAAAAAUUAAGUCUGUGAAAAGGAAGAAAUGAACUACCAAGUCAUGAAAAAAACACAGAAGAAUCUUCAAUGUAUAUUACUAAGUGAAAAUGCAUACUACUGCUAUGGUUUGAAUGUGUCCCCUAAAGUUCAUGUGUUAGAAACUUGAUCCCCAAUGUGGUGGUCUUGGAGAUGGGACCUAGUGGGAAGUGUUUGGGUCAUGGGGCCACUACCCUCAUAAAUGCAUUAAUGCCAUUCUCAAAGGAGUGGGUUCAUUAUAGAGCAAGUAGUUUUCUUAUAAAAGAAGUUUGCCUUCCCACCCUCUCUUUGCCCGGCCUCUGGGUUGAUGAAGCAAGAAGGUCCUCACCAAAUGCCAGCUCCUCGAUCUUGGGCUUCCCAGCCUUCAGUCCCACGAGCCAAUAAAUUUCUGUGCAUUAUAAAUUACCUAGUCUAUGGUAUUCUGUCUUAGCAGCACAAAACGGACUGAGACAAGCUAAACUGAAAAGGCUACAUACUGUAUUAUAUGACAUUCUAAAAAAGGCAAAACUGUGGAAACAGUAAAAAUAUCAAUGGUUGCCAGGGGUUGAGGGGUGGGAAGGAUGAGUAGAUAGGGCACAGAGAGUUUUUAGGGCAGCAAAACUAUUCUGCAUGAUAUAAUGGUGGAUACAUAUCAUUAUAUAUUUGUCAAAACCCAUAGAGGGGUUCUGGGCUGGGAAAAAUAAAGAAAAAAAAAUCCCAUAGAACGUUCAACACCAAGAGUGAACCCUGGUGUAAACUAUGUACUUUGGAUGAUGAUGUGUCAAUGCAGGGUCAUCAGUUGUAACAGAUGUACCACUCUAGUGGAGGAUGUUGAUGGCAGGGGAGACUAGGGAGAUACGGCGGCCAUGGGUAUAUAGGGAACUCUGCUUUCUGCUUAGUUUUGCUGUGAACCUAAAACUGCUCUUUAGAAGUCUGUUUUACAAGGCCGGUUGCAGUGGCUCAUGCCUGUAAUCCUGGCACUUUGGGAGGCCAAGGCGGGUGGGUCACCCAAGUUCAGGAGUUCGAGACCAGCCUAGGCAACAUGGUGAAACUCCAUCUCUACUACAAUACAAAAAAUUAGCUGGGUGUGGUGGCAUGCACCUGUAAUCCCAGCUACUCAGGAGGCUGAGACAGGAGAAUUGCUUGAACCUGGGAGGCAGAGGUUGCAGUGAGCCGAGAUCAUGCCAUUGCACCCUGGCCUGGACAACAGAGUGAGACUCCAUCUCAAAAAAAAAAGUCUCUUUUACAAAAACGGGGCUGGUCUCUGUGACUGACACGCAUAAGGUCAGGAGUUCAAGACCAGCCUGACCAACAUGGUGAAACCCUGUCUCUACUAAAACUACAAAAAUUAGCCAGGUGUGGUGGUGUGCACCUGUAGUCCCAGCCACUUGGGAGGCUGAGGCAGGAGAAUUGCUUCAACCCAGGAGGCAGAGGUUGCAAUGAGCCGAGAUUGUGCCACUGCACUCCAGCCUGGGCAACAGAGCAAGACUCCAUUUAAAAAAUAAAUAAAUAAAUAACAAGAAAAAUAAUUUUUGAAUUCUUUCCUCUCUGACCCCCUGCUAUGAAUCAUUAUCAACCCUGGGCCACAUUGUAGUUGCCCUUUGGUGGGGUCACUGUGGGUUCACCCAGGUCCACUUCUCAGCUGGGUAGGCCUAGGAGCUGGUUCUGGAACACAGAGCUCCAAGUGGGCAGGAAUCAAGCCUUACUCACCUUCAUACAGCGUGGUCAUAAGAGCACCUAGUCAUUUAUUCCUUCAGCAAAUCAUUGAGCAUCUACUGUGUGCCAAAUACUGUUCUCAAUGCUAGGGCUAUAGCGGUGAACUAAGCAGCACAGAUCUCUGCCCUUAUGGGGCUUCCAUUCUUAAAUAAGCAAAACAUACAGUCUAUCAGUUGGUGAGAAGUACUAGGGAGAAAAAUACAGCAGGGAAGGAGGCUAGGAUGUUCUUCAGGAGGGGGAGAGUUGCAGCUUUUUUUUUGAAAU